rnacentral:rRNA from 1 species
GAUGAACGCUGGCGGCGUGCCUAAUACAUGCAAGUCGAGCGAACGGACGAGAAGCUUGCUUCUCUGAUGUUAGCGGCGGACGGGUGAGUAACACGUGGAUAACCUACCUAUAAGACUGGGAUAACUUCGGGAAACCGUAGCUGAUACCGGAUAAUAUUUUGAACCGCAUGGUUCAAAAGUGAAAGACGGUCUUGCUGUCACUUAUAGAUGGAUCCGCGCUGCAUUAGCUAGUUGGUAAGGUAACGGCUUACCAAGGCAACGAUGCAUAGCCGACCUGAGAGGGUGAUCGGCCACACUGGAACUGAGACACGGUCCAGACUCCUACGGGAGGCAGCAGUAGGGAAUCUUCCGCAAAGGGCGAAAGCCUGACGGAGCAACGCCGCGUGAGUGAUGAAGGUCUUCGGAUCGUAAAACUCUGUUAUUAGGGAAGAACAUAUGUGUAAGUAACUGUGCACAUCUUGACGGUACCUAAUCAGAAAGCCACGGCUAACUACGUG